rnacentral:rRNA from 1 species
GUCUACGGCCAUAGCACCCAGAACACGCCCGAUCUGGUCUGAUCUUGGAAGCUAAGCAGGCUGGGGCCUGGUUACUACGUGGAUGGGAGAAAAUGCUACAGGCUACACAUAAGACGUGACAAGGUCGGAGUGGACU